AGUUGGUCCGAAGGCUGUGGAUUAUUGUUAAACAGAUUACCAUUAUCUCCCCCUACACUUGUUCUUGACUGGCUUUGG
rnacentral:Y_RNA from 1 species